rnacentral:rRNA from 1 species
GACGAACGCUGGCGGCGUGCUUAACACAUGCAAGUCGAACGGAAAGGCCCUGCUUUUGUUGGGUGCUCGAGUGGCGAACGGGUGAGUAACACGUGAGUAACCUGCCCUUGACUUUGGGAUAACUUCAGGAAACUGGGGCUAAUACCGGAUAGGAGCUCCUGCUGCAUGGUGGGGUUUGGAAAGUUUCGGCGGUUGGGGAUGGACUCGCGGCUUAUCAGCUUGUUGGUGGGGUAGUGGCUUACCAAGGCUUUGACGGGUAGCCGGCCUGAGAGGGUGACCGGCCACAUUGGGACUGAGAUACGGCCCAGACUCCUACGGGAGGCAGCAGUGGGGAAUAUUGCACAAUGGGCGGAAGCCUGAUGCAGCAACGCCGCGUGCGGGAUGACGGCCUUCGGGUUGUAAACCGCUUUCGCCUGUGACGAAGCGUGAGUGACGGUAAUGGGUAAAGAAGCACCGGCUAACUACGUG